UCUAGCAAUCUCCCAUGCACCAGGAGCAAGAAAUCCUAGGGUUUCUUUCUGCCAGUCCAUAAAAGGAAAGAAAGGAAGGGAGGUGCUAGCCCCUUCCCCCUUGCAGCCGCCAGCCAUUUCUUCUCUCCCCUCUCUUGCAGGCACCCAAACACUAGGUCCAGGAUCUGGAAUCUCUUGACAAGAGAUUGGUACAAGUCCCUCUCAGAUCUGGAGUUGAUCUGAGGUCGUUUGAGGCACGGGUGAGAUCUCCAUCAACAGAUCUACAAAAAGGCUGCAGCAGG
rnacentral:lncRNA from 1 species